UACGUAGGGUGCGAGCGUUGUCCGGAAUUAUUGGGCGUAAAGAGCUUGUAGGCGGUUUGUCGCGUCUGCUGUGAAAAUCCGGGGCUCAACCCCGGACUUGCAGUGGGGUACGGGCAGACUAGAGUGCGGUAGGGGAGACUGGAAUUCCUGGUGUAGCGGUGAAAUGCGCAGAUAUCAGGAGGAACACCGGUGGCGAAGGCGGGUCUCUGGGCCGUAACUGACGCUGAGGAGCGAAAGCAUGGGGAGCGAACAGG
rnacentral:rRNA from 1 species